GUCUUAUCCAAGCGGUUACGGCGACAGAAUCAAAAUCUGUUUCUCUUGGACUGCGCAGGUUCAAAACCUGCCGAAUGACA